ensembl:lncRNA
CAACAAGAGCAGGAGGGAGAGGGAAAGAAAGACAGCCGGGAGCAACAAGAGACAACACCGUCACAUUGGAAAGCUGCCCUGGUAAGAAGAGAAGUCAACAUGCCUUCAAAACCACCAAGUAGAAAAGAGCGAAAGAAGUGGUUCACCUCUCUGACGGGGGAGGUAAGACGUGUUUCAUGGGCAGCGCCGACAGGAAGUGACCUGCCAUAUGUGCCACAGAGAGCAUCUGCAUCCCUCCAGAUGGAGACUCUGCAUCAUGCACCUUCUUCUCAUUCACUUCUAUUCAUCUCCUCAUUUCCCUGAGCACUCAUAUGACGUCCAUGGCCCCUCCCU